AGAGUUUGAUCCUGGCUCAGGACGAACGCUGGCGGCACGCUUAACACAUGCAAGUCGAACGAGAGAAGAGGAGCUUGCUUUUCUGAUCUAGUGGCGGACGGGUGAGUAACACGUGAGCAAUCUGCCUUUCAGAGGGGGAUACCGAUUGGAAACGAUCGUUAAUACCGCAUAACAUAAUUGAACCGCAUGAUUUGAUUAUCAAAGAUUUAUCGCUGAAAGAUGAGCUCGCGUCUGAUUAGCUAGUUGGUAAGGUAACGGCUUACCAAGGCGACGAUCAGUAGCCGGACUGAGAGGUUGAUCGGCCACAUUGGGACUGAGACACGGCCCAGACUCCUACGGGAGGCAGCAGUGGGGAAUAUUGCACAAUGGAGGAAACUCUGAUGCAGCGAUGCCGCGUGUGGGAAGAAGGUUUUAGGAUUGUAAACCUCUGUCUUCAGGGACGAAAAAAGACGGUACCUGAGGAGGAAGCUCCGGCUAACUACGUGCCAGCAGCCGCGGUAAUACGUAGGGACGAGCGUUGUCCGGAAUUACUGGGUGUAAAGGGAGCGUAGGCGGGAUCGCAAGUCAGAUGUGAAAACUAUGGGCUUAACCCAUAAACUGCAUUUGAAACUGUGGUUCUUGAGUGAAGUAGAGGUAAGCGGAAUUCCUAGUGUAGCGGUGAAAUGCGUAGAUAUUAGGAGGAACAUCAGUGGCGAAGGCGGCUUACUGGGCUUUAACUGACGCUGAGGCUCGAAAGCGUGGGGAGCAAACAGGAUUGGAUACCCUGGUAGUCCACGCCGUAAACGAUGAUUACUAGGUGUGGGGGGACUGACCCCUUCCGUGCCGCAGCAAACGCAAUAAGUAAUCCACCUGGGGAGUACGACCGCAAGGUUGAAACUCAAAGGAAUUGACGGGGGCCCGCACAAGCAGUGGAGUAUGUGGAUUAAUUCGAAGCAACGCGAAGAACCUUACCAGGUCUUGACAUCGUAUGCAUAGCUCAGAGAUGAGUGAAAUCUCUUCGGAGACAUAUAGACAGGUGGUGCAUGGCUGUCGUCAGCUCGUGUCGUGAGAUGUUGGGUUAAGUCCCGCAACGAGCGCAACCCUUACUGUUAGUUGCUACGCAAGAGCACUCUAGCAGGACUGCCGUUGACAAAACGGAGGAAGGUGGGGAUGACGUCAAAUCAUCAUGCCCCUUAUGACCUGGGCCUCACACGUACUACAAUGGCUGUCAACAGAGGGAAGCAAAGCCGCGAGGUGGAGCGAACCCCUAAAAGCAGUCUUAGUUCGGAUUGUAGGCUGCAACCCGCCUACAUGAAGUCGGAAUUGCUAGUAAUCGCAGAUCAGCAUGCUGCGGUGAAUACGUUCCCGGGCCUUGUACACACCGCCCGUCACGCCAUGGGAGUCGGUAACACCCGAAGCCUGUAGUCUAACCGCAAGGAGGACGCAGUCGAAGGUGGGAUUGAUGACUGGGGUGAAGUCGUAACAAGGUA
rnacentral:rRNA from 1 species